rnacentral:rRNA from 1 species
AUUGAACGCUGGCGGCAUGCCUUACACAUGCAAGUCGAACGGCAGCGGACCUUCGGGUGCCGGCGAGUGGCGAACGGGUGAGUAAUGCAUCGGAACGUGCCAUUGAGUGGGGGGAUAACGUAGCGAAAGUUACGCUAAUACCGCAUAUUCUGUGAGCAGGAAAGCAGGGGACCGCAAGGCCUUGCGCUCUUUGAGCGGCCGAUGUCAGAUUAGCUAGUUGGUGAGGUAAAGGCUUACCAAGGCGACGAUCUGUAGCGGGUCUGAGAGGAUGAUCCGCCACACUGGAACUGAGACACGGUCCAGACUCCUACGGGAGGCAGCAGUGGGGAAUUUUGGACAAUGGGCGCAAACCUGAUCCAGCCAUGCCGCGUGAGUGAAGAAGGCCUC